rnacentral:rRNA from 1 species
UACGUAGGGUGCGAGCGUUAAUCGGAAUUACUGGGUGUAAAGCGUGCGCAGGCGGUUUUGUAAGCCAGGUGUGAAAUCCCCGGGCUCAACCUGGGAAUGGCAUUUGGGACUGCAAGGCUGGAGUGCGGCAGAGGAGACUGGAAUUCCUGGUGUAGCAGUGAAAUGCGUAGAUAUCAGGAGGAACACCGAUGGCGAAGGCAGGUCUCUGGGCUGACACUGACGCUCAUGCACGAAAGCGUGGGGAGCAAACAAGG